UACGGGGGGGGCAAGCGUUGUUCGGAAUUACUGGGCGUAAAGGGCCCGUAGGUGGCCAACUAAGUCGGACGUGAAAUCCCUCGGCUUAACCGGGGAACUGCGUCUGAUACUGGAUGGCUUGAGUUUGGGAGAGGGAUGCGGAAUUCCAGGUGUAGCGGUGAAAUGCGUAGAUAUCUGGAGGAACACCGGUGGCGAAGGCGGCAUCCUGGACCAACACUGACACUGAGGAGCGAAAGCCAGGGGAGCAAACGGG
rnacentral:rRNA from 1 species